rnacentral:rRNA from 1 species
ACAUGCAGUCGAGCGGACAGAUGGGAGCUUGCUCCCUGAUGUCAGCGGCGGACGGGUGAGUAACACGUGGGUAACCUGCCUGUAAGACUGGGAUAACUCCGGGAAACCGGGGCUAAUACCGGAUGCUUGAUUGAACCGCAUGGUUCAAUUAUAAAAGGUGGCUUUUACCUACCACUUACAAAUGAACCCCCGCCCCAUUACCUAUUUGGUAAGGUAACGGCCCACCAAGGCAACAAUCCUUACCCAACCUAAAAG